GGGUUGUGAGGUUAAGCGACUAAGCGUACACGGUGGAUGCCCUGGCAGUCAGAGGCGAUGAAGGGCGUGCUAAUCUGCGAUAAGCGCCGGUAAGGUGAUAUGAACCGUUAUAACCGGCGAUACCCGAAUGGGGAAACCCAGUGUGAUUCGUCACACUAUCAUUAACUGAAUCCAUAGGUUAAUGAGGCGAACCGGGGGAACUGAAACAUCUAAGUACCCCGAGGAAAAGAAAUCAACCGAGAUUCCCCCAGUAGCGGCGAGCGAACGGGGAGGAGCCCAGAGCCUGAAUCAGCAUGUGUGUUAGUGGAAGCGUCUGGAAAGGCGCGCGAUACAGGGUGACAGCCCCGUACACAAAAGCGCAUGUGCUGUGAGCUCGAUGAGUAGGGCGGGACACGUGGUAUCCUGUCUGAAUAUGGGGGGACCAUCCUCCAAGGCUAAAUACUCCUGACUGACCGAUAGUGAACCAGUACCGUGAGGGAAAGGCGAAAAGAACCCCGGCGAGGGGAGUGAAAAAGAACCUGAAACCGUGUACGUACAAGCAGUGGGAGCCCCACCACUAAGCCAGUGGUGAACUCCACAUCCGCAUCCUUUGCUGAGGAUACGGUUAACGGAGCGAAAGCGACGUUCAACCGCAAAACAAGCAGAGGGGGCUUAGUGGUGGGGUGACUGCGUACCUUUUGUAUAAUGGGUCAGCGACUUAUAUUCUGUAGCAAGGUUAACCGAAUAGGGGAGCCGGAGGGAAACCGAGUCUUAAUUGGGCGUUAAGUUGCAGGGUAUAGACCCGAAACCCGGUGAUCUAGCCAUGGGCAGGUUGAAGGUUGGGUAACACUAACUGGAGGACCGAACCGACUAAUGUUGAAAAAUUAGCGGAUGACCUGUGGCUGGGGGUGAAAGGCCAAUCAAACCGGGAGAUAGCUGGUUCUCCCCGAAAGCUAUUUAGGUAGCGCCUCGUGAAUUCAUCUCCGGGGGUAGAGCACUGUUUCGGCUAGGGGGCCAUCCCGGCUUACCAACCCGAUGCAAACUGCGAAUACCGGAGAAUGUUAUCACGGGAGACACACGGCGGGUGCUAACGUCCGUCGUGAAGAGGGAAACAACCCAGACCGCCAGCUAAGGUCCCAAAGUCAUGGUUAAGUGGGAAACGAUGUGGGAAGGCCCAGACAGCCAGGAUGUUGGCUUAGAAGCAGCCAUCAUUUAAAGAAAGCGUAAUAGCUCACUGGUCGAGUCGGCCUGCGCGGAAGAUGUAACGGGGCUAAACCAUGCACCGAAGCUGCGGCAGCGAACGUAUCACUUAAAGCGAUUCAGCGGGUUACGAUUGACGGAGCGAAGCGACGUCAAAGCGUAUACAAAGUCGAGUCGGUUUAAGGAUACGUUCGUUGGGUAGGGGAGCGUUCUGUAAGCCCGUGAAGGUGGCCUGUGAGGGUUGCUGGAGGUAUCAGAAGUGCGAAUGCUGACAUAAGUAACGAUAAAGCGGGUGAAAAGCCCGCUCGCCGGAAGACCAAGGGUUCCUGUCCAACGUUAAUCGGGGCAGGGUGAGUCGACCCCUAAGGCGAGGCCGAAAGGCGUAGUCGAUGGGAAACGGGUUAAUAUUCCCGUACUUGGUGUUACUGCGAAGGGGGGACGGAGAAGGCUAUGUUGGCCGGGCGACGGUUGUCCCGGUUUAAGCGUGUAGGUGUGUGUUCCAGGUAAAUCCGGUUCACUUUAACACUGAGGCGUGACGACGAGGCACUACGGUGCUGAAGCAACAAAUGCCCUGCUUCCAGGAAAAGCCUCUAAGCAUCAGGUAACACGAAAUCGUACCCCAAACCGACACAGGUGGUCAGGUAGAGAAUACCAAGGCGCUUGAGAGAACUCGGGUGAAGGAACUAGGCAAAAUGGUGCCGUAACUUCGGGAGAAGGCACGCUGACACGUAGGUGAAGUGAUUUACUCAUGGAGCUGAAGUCAGUCGAAGAUACCAGCUGGCUGCAACUGUUUAUUAAAAACACAGCACUGUGCAAACACGAAAGUGGACGUAUACGGUGUGACGCCUGCCCGGUGCCGGAAGGUUAAUUGAUGGGGUCAGCGCAAGCGAAGCUCCUGAUCGAAGCCCCGGUAAACGGCGGCCGUAACUAUAACGGUCCUAAGGUAGCGAAAUUCCUUGUCGGGUAAGUUCCGACCUGCACGAAUGGCGUAAUGAUGGCCAGGCUGUCUCCACCCGAGACUCAGUGAAAUUGAACUCGCUGUGAAGAUGCAGUGUACCCGCGGCAAGACGGAAAGACCCCGUGAACCUUUACUAUAGCUUGACACUGAACAUUGAGCCUUGAUGUGUAGGAUAGGUGGGAGGCUUUGAAGUGUGGACGCCAGUCUGCAUGGAGCCGACCUUGAAAUACCACCCUUUAAUGUUUGAUGUUCUAACGUGGACCCGUAAUCCGGGUUGCGGACAGUGUCUGGUGGGUAGUUUGACUGGGGCGGUCUCCUCCUAAAGAGUAACGGAGGAGCACGAAGGUUGGCUAAUCCUGGUCGGACAUCAGGAGGUUAGUGCAAUGGCAUAAGCCAGCUUGACUGCGAGCGUGACGGCGCGAGCAGGUGCGAAAGCAGGUCAUAGUGAUCCGGUGGUUCUGAAUGGAAGGGCCAUCGCUCAACGGAUAAAAGGUACUCCGGGGAUAACAGGCUGAUACCGCCCAAGAGUUCAUAUCGACGGCGGUGUUUGGCACCUCGAUGUCGGCUCAUCACAUCCUGGGGCUGAAGUAGGUCCCAAGGGUAUGGCUGUUCGCCAUUUAAAGUGGUACGCGAGCUGGGUUUAGAACGUCGUGAGACAGUUCGGUCCCUAUCUGCCGUGGGCGCUGGAGAACUGAGGGGGGCUGCUCCUAGUACGAGAGGACCGGAGUGGACGCAUCACUGGUGUUCGGGUUGUCAUGCCAAUGGCACUGCCCGGUAGCUAAAUGCGGAAGAGAUAAGU
rnacentral:rRNA from 1 species